rnacentral:ncRNA from 2 species
CUGACAAACGGAGAUGACAUGCCUCCAUAACCGCCCCAUUAGGCUGAUGGUGUCUACGCUACC